AAAAAGACAAAUCAUGGGUUUUCAUGUUUAAAGUUUGACUGUCCAUCUUAUAUAAUUUUUUUAUAAUUAGUAUUUUAAUUAUUGUUAGAUGAUAAAAUAUGAUUAAUAUUUUAUGUGCGAUUUGUCUUUUUAUUUUUUUUUCAUAAUUUUUUUAAAUAAGACGUCAAACGUUGGAUACGGAAACCUAGGGUUUGUCUUUUU
rnacentral:pre_miRNA from 1 species